rnacentral:rRNA from 1 species
AGCUAUACAUGCAGUUCGAGCGGACUUGAAGAGAAGCUUGCUUCCUCUGAUGGUUAGCGGCGGACGGGUGAGUAACACGUAGGCAACCUGCCCUCAAGUUUGGGACAACUACCGGAAACGGUAGCUAAUACCGAAUAGUUGUUUUCUUCUCCUGAAGAGAACUGGAAAGACGGAGCAAUCUGUCACUUGGGGAUGGGCCUGCGGCGCAUUAGCUAGUUGGUGGGGUAACGGCUCACCAAGGCGACGAUGCGUAGCCGACCUGAGAGGGUGAUCGGCCACACUGGGACUGAGACACGGCCCAGACUCCUACGGGAGGCAGCAGUAGGGAAUCUUCCGCAAUGGGCGAAAGCCUGACGGAGCAAUGCCGCGUGAGUGAUGAAGGUUUUCGGAUCGUAAAGCUCUGUUGCCAGGGAAGAACGCUUGGGAGAGUAACUGCUCUCAAGGUGACGGUACCUGAGAAGAAAGCCCCGGCUAACUACGUGCCAGCAGCCGCGGUAAUACGUAGGGGGCAAGCGUUGUCCGGAAUUAUUGGGCGUAAAGCGCGCGCAGGCGGUCAUUUAAGUCUGGUGUUUA